rnacentral:rRNA from 1 species
AGUGAACGCUGGCGGUAGGCCUAACACAUGCAAGUCGAACGGCAGCACAGUAAGAGCUUGCUCUUACGGGUGGCGAGUGGCGGACGGGUGAGGAAUACAUCGGAAUCUACUUUUUCGUGGGGGAUAACGUAGGGAAACUUACGCUAAUACCGCAUACGACCUACGGGGGAAAGCAGGGGAUCUUCGGACCUUGCGCGGUUGGAUGAGCCGAUGUCGGAUUAGCUAGUUGGCGGGGUAAAGGCCCACCAAGGCGACGAUCCGUAGCUGGUCUGAGAGGAUGAUCAGCCACACUGGAACUGAGACACGGUCCAGACUCCUACGGGAGGCAGCAGUGGGGAAUAUUGGACAAUGGGCGCAAGCCUGAUCCAGCCAUACCGCGUGGGUGAAGAAGGCCUUCGGGUUGUAAAGCCCUUUUGUUGGGAAAGAAAAGCAGCAGGUUAAUACCCCGCUGUUCUGACGGUACCCAAAGAAUAAGCACCGGCUAACUUCGUG